UGGAGCAUGUGGUUUAAUUCGAAGCAACGCGAAGAACCUUACCAGGUCUUGACAUCCCGAUGCUAUUUCUAGAGAUAGAAAGUUACUUCGGUACGUCGGUGACAGGUGGUGCAUGGUUGUCGUCAGCUCGUGUCGUGAGAUGUUGGGUUAAGUCCCGCAACGAGCGCAACCCCUAUUGUUAGUUGCCAUCAUUCAGUUGGGCACUCUAGCGAGACUGCCGGUAAUAAACCGGAGGAAGGUGGGAUGACGUCAAAUCAUCAUGCCCCUUAUGACCUGGGCUACACACGUGCUACAAUGGUUGGUACAACGAGUUGCGAGUCGGUGACGGCGAGCUAAUCUCUUAAAGCCAAUCUCAGUUCGGAUUGUAGGCUGCAACUCGCCUACAUGAAGUCGGAAUCGCUAGUAAUCGCGGAUCAGCACGCCGCGGUGAAUACGUUCCCGGGCCUU
rnacentral:rRNA from 1 species